GUGGUUGUUGUUUUCGUUGGCCAUCGCAAUUGGAGUUUCCAAUCCGUCCAACGGUGAUGUAGUGUUUGUAGUUGUUGUCAUGGUUGUUCGUAGGAGGCAGUUUCACAUACGCAAUAGCAACAUGCAACACGCAUACAGACAGGAGGAUAACGACGAAGCGGCGAAACAAAAAUUCAAAUAAAAAUCAAAUCAAACUAAAAAAAGGCGCUUUAUGUUCGUUACGUGCACGGAGCUCAUCUGUUAAAUUGCCUAAUUGGACACUCACAUCGUCAAAAUUGGCCAUUCUGUCGGAUUCGAAUCGGAGCUCGGGUUGUUGUUGCCUUUCCGGUUGUGAUGUGAAGAUCCCAAUUGGACUUUCGAUUUCUGGUUCUGGUUCUGCGUUUCAGGAGAAAGGGAAGGGGACGUGAGCGGGAGUCAAGAGAAAUGCAGAAACAAGAUUCAGACGCAUGAAGUUCACGCGCUUCGCCACCCGUUCACCGCGACAACAAGACUUGUAUAUUUCGAGAUUUUGGAUCGGAUCUAGAUGCGAAACCAACUGCCAGUGUGACCGCGCCUUGGUUCGACUUUGAUGCUAAAAAGUCCCAAAGAGUGCUUAAGAAAAGACGAGCUACAGCCUUAAAUUUCGAGAAGAUAAAACAGGUUUAAAGGCUUAAAGGUCAUAGCUAAGCAAUCACAACCUAUUUGCUGAAAGAUUUUGGCUUUCGUAUUAUUUGGUCGCAGAUGCACACGCAUUCCCGGCCCAAAGUCACCAGAUAAUGGUGAUGGAUGCCAGCCACCUCUCUACUAAUCCGGAUGGCGAUACAGUCCGGCUUCUGUAGAUCGAACACGACUUCUAAGAUAUUUGUCACAUUGCAAAAGAGUGGCACACAUUGGAAAAACUGGAACCACCAACUGCCAACUUACGAACUGGGCCUGCAAAAAUCUGUUUUCCUCAAAUUAAGUCCACAUUUUUGAUACGAGUAGUAGUAACUCAUGACAACUUAUUGGGCUUGUCAACUGGUCUGGACUUUCGGUUUAAAAAAGUAAAAGAAAAAAUGUAAAAAAAAGAUUUCUUGUAUGAUAUUAAGACGAAAAUUAAAGGAUAAAUUUGCCAUCAGAAGAUACAACUACUGACCAUGAAUGGGGAUUGAAAUGCACGUACUUUUAAGUUAAGAUUUGGCUUUAGACCUGCCUGUCUGUUCUUUUAAGAGAGUAUAGCCUGUCUCCAAUGCCUUAGCCAAUUAGGAAUAGGGUGUUUUUUAUUUUGAGCAGCUGUUUGGGCCAGAAGCCAGCAAGUGAAGUGUUGGCAAAUAAAUAACCGGUUAUUGAAAAGUAUUUACUUGCAUCAAAUCACAUCGGACAGCUUCGCACCCUGACCAUGAAAUCCGGACAAACCCUCAGUGUCAUACGGCGUCUGCCGGAGAUCGAGAGUUAAGAUCCAUUAAACCGCUCGCGUGGGGCCGCGUUUAGUCCAGUAAACCUGUCAAUUGGCGUAAUCGGCGGCAUAUCAGUCUGGAUUCUAUUGUGGUAAUUACCAGCUCUCGCCACUGAAAUUAGCUGGUAAUGGAUGUGGACUUUGGCUCGUUUUGCCCAACUUUACAGCCAGCAAACGAUUGUAAAAGUGACUUCGAAUGGUGCUGUUUGCACAAAAGCUACCGCAAUUGUAGUCACGCAAUAGAUGCGAUUCCAAAUAAUAUUCCACAUUUUUCAGUUGGCUUCAGCGUUGCUUUGCAAAGUCUUAUUAUGUCCACAGUACUUAGCGAUUCCUUUUGUCAUUCUAAUGGUCUCUCGGCCUCUUUUCGACAAUACCCAAAACCCAUUUGCGUCGUAUGUGGCUCUAUAGAGAUGGAAGUGUGGCCUUGACCCAGGUUCCGGGUGUACGUGUACGCAUCACCCGUUAAACAAGACAGUUAAAGAUGCUGGCAUCUUAAAAAUAAGUGUAACCAAUAUACCGCCUUCGUUUUGCAUCAAUAAACAACUCAGAUUUUCGAUUUGUAUAACUAA